rnacentral:tRNA from 1 species
GGGGCCAUAGCUCAGUUGGGAGAGCGCUUGCAUGGCAUGCAAGAGGUCAGCGGUUCGAUCCCCCUUGGCUCCACCA